rnacentral:lncRNA from 1 species
AAAGAAGCUUCCUCCACACCAGCUCUGCCCAUCCCAGAGGGGACAGCCCCUCUCUGCUUGUCCCUGAACCAAGGACUAAGUGAAGGGCUUUCCCAGGGCAGCUGUUGGAGUUCCUCUGAGAAUUGUCUCUUUCCAAGGAACUGGUCUCCUCCCCAUGUACCCCCAGCUCUGUGGGUGCCCAUCCCCAGCAGUGCUGACCACCAGUCAGGGCAGCAGGGCUCAUCCCACAGCACCCACUGCAGCUCUCUGCAGCCUCCUUUUCAGAGGGGUCCCUGACCCAGCUGCAGCCCUACCCCAGGCACAGAGAGGAGGAGGAUGGUCUGGGGCCUGCCCCAAGGAUCAGGGGGGGGGGGGGGGGGGAAGAAAGGUCUCCAUUUCUCCUCACUGCAGACAGACCAGACUGACAGCAGUGCCACUGAGUGUUGUCAUCACAGCUGGAAGCAUGAAGGCUCUGCUGUGACCCUGACACCAGCUGCAUAUGUCCCUGUCCUGCCCGGAGGUUACCCAGCAGAUGGCUAUGAUGAUGCUGGGGAGGUUUCUGACCCUGGGGAGGAUCCUGUCCCUGGGCAGGGGGACUGGGAAGUGCCCAGGACACCAGAGGAAGGAGAUGGGCUGAGGCAUGCAGUCACAGGUGAGAGGGCAAUGCAGCACUGCCACUUGCUAGAUGCCAACCCCAGGCCUAGGAGAAUCCAUGCCAUAUUGAAAGCCUGACCAUCCAUGGAGAACCUGUCCUGGGAUAUUUUGUGGGGGCUGGGAGAAUGGGCCAAAUGUCUCUAGGCUGGUGAGGACGAGGAAGGUGAUAAACAGCCCCAAGGGGCACCUCACAGGCCCAACCACAGCAGCCUGCUUUGAUGCUUACAGGGGGAAGCCUGCACUCCUGGAGAAGUGCUGGGGUCCCUGGAGCUGAUGGAGACACCUCAUCACCUUUCCUGGGGACCACGGGCUAUGACGAUGUUGAAGAGGUGUCUCUGUCAUGUCCCUAUGAAGACACACAGGAUGUCACACCAGAGCCCCGUGCACAAGAGUUCCAGAUCCCCAGGCCAUCAGAGCCCAGCCCUGCUGAGCAGCUGGGUGCAGCCGGGAGGGAGGAGAGCUCAGUGCCAUUGGGAGAGCCGUGAGUGCCAGGGAACGGUCUCCCUUUUCCAGCAGUCAGCAGACACACAUGGGUAUUUCCCCUCUUGGUAUUCCCGUUUUAACGCUGUGUGUUGGUAUUUCCUCAUAUUAAAACCCUCUGGGGGCUUUUCCCCAGGUCCAGUGCUUCCCUGCCCAGGUGUCAGGGUGUCUCCCUGAGGCGGAUGGAGGGGAG